AAAGUGACUGAAUCAGUUAAAAGACAACAUGCAAUUAUACUACAAUGAUACAAGUACAUCACAAACAAAUCAAAUCAAAACUCAUUUUACUUUGUAGACUAUACAAUGAAAAUAAUGAUAACAAUUUAAUGCAAAAACUGCCCACAUUUGUUCUCUAAUGAACAAGUCAGUAAUGUGGUUUGGAGUCACCUAUACAUAGGUAUCAGAAACCAGCAAAACAACAAGAUCGCAUACUAAGGAACAUUUCCAGAUUCAAGGAAAACCAAUAAAACAGAAUCAGAAACUCAGCUAGCUGAAACUCUUGUCGAAGGCUUUAUUUUAAUGACAGAAUCAGAUAUCAAAAGCUUAGGGUAAUCCAACGUAAAUAGGAAUUCCAAAUACAAAAUUUCAGAACCAGAACAUGGAGAAACCUAAGACCUUAUCAAGCACAACUCA